rnacentral:rRNA from 1 species
GGGUCAGUAGGUUGGUCGUGCCACCGGUACGUACUGGUCUCACUGAUUCCUCCUUCCUGAAGAACCGUAAUGCCAUUAAUUUGGUGUUGCGGGGGAACAGGACUGUUACUUUGAAAAAAUUAGAGUGUUUAAAGCAAGCUAACGCUUGAAUACUUUAGCAUGGAAUAAUGAAAUAGGACGAUCGAUCCUAUUUUGUUGGUUUCUAGGAUUGACGUA